CAAGGAGAACGGGUAAUCGCUUCGUAAUGAAGAGGAAAGUCCGAGCACCAUCGGGUUAGGAUACCGGUUAACGGCCGGGCAAGGAAACUUGACGGAAAGUGCAACAGAAAAUAAACCGCCUUUAAUUAGGUAAGGGUGAAAAGGUAAGGUAAGAGCUUAUCGCUUAAAUGGUAACAUUUAAGGCUAGGUAAACCCUAUCCGGUGCAAGGCCAAAUAGGAGAGUAGGAAAUCCGACUGAUCUCUCGGGUAGGCUGCUUGAUUUUUUCGGUAACGAAAAAACUAGAUAAAUGAUUACCGUUGGAUAUCCCAAUACAGAACUCGGCUUACAGUUCUCCUUGUAUA
rnacentral:RNase_P_RNA from 1 species